rnacentral:misc_RNA from 1 species
CCGAGUUAGGGUUGCCUUCUAGGUGCCCGACCUCCCAACCCUUUGUCUAUGAUACCACAGUUGCUUCGGCGGACCGAGGGGUCAUACCCUCGCCUGGUCGACCUGGCCGGGAGAGCGUCCGUCGAUGGCCUCAACUUAACACUUGAACCCAAAACCUGUCGUCUGAAAACAUUUUAUGAUUUAUAAUCAAAAACA